CCCAGUUCUUGCCUCUCUGUUCAUCUCAGAGUCCAUGAGAAAUCAGAGAUCAUCACAGACCACCCUUCUGCUUAAAUUAAUUAAUUAAAUUUAAUUAAAUUCCUGAAAUUAAGGAGAAACAAGUAUAGGAGGAAAGUUAAAACAGAAAGAAAAAAACACCUCUACAAUUAUGCUUUGCAAGAUCUUACAGAAAACAUAUCUCGUCAUCUACAAAGCAAUCCACAAAAGUGGCUUUCAGUAAGUGAUGGGGAAUAUUUAAACAGAUGCAAGACUCUCUACCAUAUCGGGCAGCUUCUAAAGUCUCUCACAGCAAUACCCAAAUGAUG
rnacentral:lncRNA from 1 species